rnacentral:tRNA from 1 species
GUUCCUGUAGUUGAGAACAACAAUGGCUUUUCAAGCCGUAGUCCUUGGAUUUGAGCCAAGCGGGAAUA